GUCCUCUCAGGAUCACACCUGGAGAGUUUUCAGUACUCUACCAGUCUCGUCUGAGAGGGAGAGUCAAGCAGAGGCCUACCCAUUCCAUUCCUAGCUUGGGCAGUGGCUAGCAAGUGGAAGGCAAUCUGCUACAAGU